AUUGAACGCUGGCGGCAGGCCUAACACAUGCAAGUCGAGCGAGCGGCGGACGGGUGAGUAAUGUCUGGGGAUCUGCCCGAUAGAGGGGGAUAACUACUGGAAAGGGUAUCUAAUACCGCAUAACAUCGAAUGUGCCCAGAUGGGAUUAGCUAGUAGGUGGGGUAACGGCUAACCUAGGCGAAGAUCCCGAGCUGGUCUGAGAGGAUGACCAGCCACAAUGGAAAUGAGGCACGGUCCAGCCUCCUACGGGAGGCAGCAGUGGGGAAUAUUGCAAAAGGGGCGCAAGCCUGAUGCAGCCAUGCCGCGUGUAUGAAGAAGGCCUUCGGGUUGUAAAGUACUUUCAGCGAGGAGGCGUUACUCGCAGAAGAAGCACCGGCUAACUCCGUGCCAGCAGCCGCGGUAAUUC
rnacentral:rRNA from 1 species